ACCGAGUUCGCGCCCCCUCGCGGGUCGACCUCCCACCCUGUGUUAUCGUUACCCGUGCUGCCCGGGCUCGCCCCGCGGCGCACCACACUCUUGAUAUUAGUGUCGUCUGAGUCUAAAACAUAAUAGUUAAAACUUUCAACAACGGAUCUCUUGGUUCUGGCAUCGAUGAAGAACGCAGCGAAAUGCGAUAAGUAAUGCGAAUUGCAGAAUUCAGUGAGUCAUCGAAUCUUUGAACGCACAUUGCGCCCCGUGGCAUUCCGCGGGGCAUGCCUGUUCGAGCGUCAUUUCAACCCUCAAGCUCUGCUUGGUGUUGGGCCCCGCCCCGUCUCUUCGCGGGCCGGCCCUAAAACCAGUGGCGGUGCCGCCGGCUCCUAAGCGUAGUAACUUUUACACCUCGCUCCAGGCUCCCGGCGGUCGCUUGCCAGCAACCCCAACUCUCCAGGUUGACCUCGGAUCAGGUAGGGAUACCCGCUGAACUUAAGCAUAUCAAUAA
rnacentral:misc_RNA from 1 species